GAUGAACGCUGGCGGCGUGCUUAACACAUGCAAGUCGAGCGAUUUACUUCGGUAAAGAGCGGCGGACGGGUGAGUAACGCGUGGGUAACCUGCCCUGUACACACGGAUAACAUACCGAAAGGUAUGCUAAUACGAGAUAAUAUGCUUUUAUCGCAUGGUAGAAGUAUCAAAGCUUUUGCGGUACAGGAUGGACCCGCGUCUGAUUAGCUAGUUGGUGAGGUAACGGCUCACCAAGGCGACGAUCAGUAGCCGACCUGAGAGGGUGAUCGGCCACAUUGGAACUGAGACACGGUCCAAACUCCUACGGGAGGCAGCAGUGGGGAAUAUUGCACAAUGGGCGAAAGCCUGAUGCAGCAACGCCGCGUGAGCGAUGAAGGCCUUCGGGUCGUAAAGCUCUGUCCUCAAGGAAGAUAAUGACGGUACUUGAGGAGGAAGCCCCGGCUAACUACGUG
rnacentral:rRNA from 1 species